AUGUGGGCAGGGCAGGCCCAUCCGGGGAGCCCAGGCCGAAUUAGGUUUCCACGCGGUCCUCAGCAGGAUGUUUGGGAGGCGCGCCCCCUCGCUCCGCACGGAGCCGACCGGAGAGCGCGGCGCAGCACCCCACCCUCCGCGGGGCCCGAGGCCCAGGGCGAGCUGGGCCACGAGGAGGCACCACGCUGCUCGGAGCAAGCCCGUGUGCUCGCAGCCCCCAACGGCCGCCGCGCAGCGUUUCCUCCAACGUGGUGGAGAAUGAAACGGCUGGGGCCCGAACGCAGCCCGGGCCGGGAAGCGAGCGCGCUGAAGCCGCUCUUCCCGGGGGGCCUUCCCCGACGCCUUCGCGGGGGUGGGCUGAGCGACUGGCCGGUGCGAACGCCCGGGGACGGCCACGGAGGAAGCGGGGAAGCGAAUUCCUCGGUUCGGACCGGCCAGGGGCGCGAGGACACGGCCCGGGGCUGGGGAAGGGGACGCAGCCGGCAGAGAAAGCCUCCCGACACGCACGGACGGGCACGGACGCACACCGGCCUUGGCUCGGCCAGGGUGGUUCCGCGGGGGCCCCGGGGGACCCUCCCGCGCGCGGAACCGUGGGGGUCCCCGGGAACGACGGGCCAACCCCCGUGGGCUCCCCGGGGGCCGCCACGUCACGGAGGGUGUGCCCCGGGGCUCGGCGGGCGGGCGGGGGAGGAGCCGAGGGGGCUGGCUCCCGGGCCGCGCCGAGCCCCGGGCCCCCCGGGCCCCCCGGGCCGCCUCCCUCCCCGCUUCCCGGCCCCGCCGCGCCCGCCGCUCACCUACCUUCCCCGCUCCAGCGCACACCGCAGGCCUCGCACCGGGCGCCCACAGGCCGCGCGCCGCCACGACGGUUGUAGCGCCUGUCUCUUUAAAUCCGGGUCCUUGAGCCCGCGCAGUGCGCAAGCGCAGAGGUCCGGGCCCAAGGUGCUUUACGCGUCCCCGCCCCCCCUGCCACGUGGGCGGUGGUCAGGUUCCGCCGGGUGCGGCUUUGGGAACGGUGUUGGGGUUUGGGGGUGGUUCCCCGCCUGCGGUGGAGGUCAGGAAAAGUGGAGGUGCCGGGGGCGGCGUGGGGGGCAUGGUGGUAGCUGGGGUCGCACCCUGGCCUGACCUUCAGAGGUCCCCCCUCCCCGCCCCGAUGCGUUCAUAAUGUUAGAGAUGCUCCAGUCCUGAAAUCGAAUGGUUGAGAAACUGUUUUGUAAUGAGCUUGGGGAAGGCAAAGGAAUGCGUCAUUCAACCUCUUUUUUUUGAAUUUAUUUUUCUAUAUUCCCUGUGUCUUGUGUCCUGCACAAUGCCUAGCACGUUGUAUUCAAUAAAUAGUAUUGAGUUGAAAAGCACUAGAUACGUGGACACACAUUAAAAGUGUAAAGGAGUGUUGGGGAGAGUAAUCCCUUGUGUUGCUUAAACCUCAGGUCAACUUUUUGAGGGAUUAGGAUGGCUAGUUUUACAAAAGAGCAGCAGGCUCAGAGAACCUAAGCGAACUUGUUCAGGGUCUAGGAACAGCAAACAAUCGGGCAUUAUUAGGCAAACUAAAAUCAGAUUCUGGAGGGAAUUCUGUGCUCUGUGCAAAAGAGCUUGACUUUUACUGUGUAGGGGCUGGGCAACCAUAAAGGGCCUUAGGGAAUAGUAACUACUUUUGAGGCUGGGUCAGGGAGAGACUGAGGCAAGGGAAGAAAUGAAAGGUUCUUGGUGCUUGCUGAGGCAGCACGUAGACUAAAAUGGGAACAUACAGAGAAGAUUAGCAUGGCCCCUGCACAAGGAUGACACACAAAUUCAUAAAGAGUUCCAUAUUAUUAAAGAAAGAAUUUUUUCUUUUUUUUCCCCUUUUUUCUUUUUCUUUUAUGUAUGAUGGUGGAUGCUACCCAAACUUACUGGGCCCUGUGCUGUUGGCUGCUGUCAUUGCUAGCUAUCAGGCUCUUGAAGCAUGGCCAGUCCAAAUCGAGACGUGCUGUAAGCGUAAAAUACACACAGAUUUCAAAGAUGUGUUGCCAAACAAGAAAGGACUGCAAGAUAUCUCAUCAAUUAUCUAUUUGAUUCCAUGUUAAAGUAAUCUUUUGGAUAAGUUGGGUUAGUUAAAUAAAAAUAUAUUAAAAUUAA